rnacentral:rRNA from 1 species
AUUGAACGCUGGCGGCAGGCCUAACACAUGCAAGUCGAACGAGUGGCGGACGGGUGAGUAAUGUCUGGGCAACUGCCUGAUGGAGGGGGAUAACUACUGGAAACGGUAGCUAAUACCGCAUACCAUCGGAUCUGCCCAGAUGGGAUUAGCUAGUAGGUGGGGUAAAGGCUAACCUAGGCGACGAUCCCUAGCUGGUCUGAGAGGAUGAACGGCCACACUGGAACUGAGACACGGUCCAGACUCGUACGGGAGGCAGCAGUGGGGAAUAGUGCACAAUGGGCGCAAGCCUGAUGGAGCCAUGCCGCGUGUAUGAAGAAGGCCUUCGGGUUGUAAAGUACUUUCGGCGGGGAGGCGUUACCCACAGAAGAAGCACCGGCUAACUCCGUGCCAGCAGCCGCGGUAAUAC